rnacentral:tRNA from 1 species
UGGGUUGUGGCUUAGAGGUAAGAGCACAUUCCUAGCACGCAUGAGGCACUGGGUUUGAUCCUCAGCACCACAU